GAAAUGCGAUAAGUAAUGCGAAUUGCAGAAUUCCGUGAGUCAUCGAAUCUUUGAACGCACAUUGCGCCCUCUGGCAUUCCGGAGGGCAUGCCUGUUCGAGCGUCAUUAUCAACCCUCAAGCUCGGCUUGCUGUUGGGUCACGCCGCGCGAGGACGGUGGGCCCGAAAGAUAAUGGCAGAGUCGGUGGGACCCUGGGCGCAGCGAGCUCCUCAGCACGCGCCCAGACGGUGUUCCGGCUCGGUCUUAACCAUCAAUUUCUUCUGGUUGACCUCGGAUCAGGUAGGGAUACCCGCUGAACUUAA
rnacentral:misc_RNA from 1 species